UGUUAGGGCAACUGAAGGGUGGAUGAAUGGGGGAGGGAGAGAGAGAGGGAGAGGGAGGGGGGGGCUACAGAAAGUAGGGCAGGGAGAGAGGAAGGAAAAGAGAUGGCAAAUAUUUCCCUCAGAUUACAUAGAACCAAUAAGAAUUUGAAAACAAACCCAAAUUUGAUAAACUCCCAUAUCUACUGGGUGAAAUACCACAGUGUUCCAUCACAGCAGCAAGAUUUGUGACCUGUUGCCACCAGAAAAGGGCAACUAAUGAAGAACAAACACCAUUGACAAUGACCCAACACACCUCCAGGCUGUGUAAGAGCUAUUUCACCAAGAAGGAGAGUGGUGGAGUGCUGCAUCAGAUGACCUGGCCUCCACAAUCACCUGAGUUGGAGCGCAGAGGGAAGCAGCCAACAAGUGCUCAGCAUAUGUGGGAACUCCAAGACUGUUGGAAAAGCAAUCCAGGUGAAGCUGGUUGAGAGAAUGCCAAGAAUGUGCAAAGCUGUCAUCAAGGCAACAGGUGUCUUUAACACAGUUUUGGUUACUACAUGAUUCCAUGUGUGUUAUUUCAUAGUUUUGAUGUCUUCAUCUAUUAUUCUACAAUGUAGAAAAUAGUCAAAAUAAAGAAAGAUCCUUGAAUGAG